rnacentral:rRNA from 1 species
AAUCAACGCUGGCGGCGUGCCUAACACAUGCAAGUCGAACGCGAAAGCCCCGCCAGUGGUAAGUAGAGGGGCAAUCGGGUGAGUAACACGUGGGUGACCUGCCUUCGAGUGGGGGAUAACGUCCCGAAAGGGACGCUAAUACCGCAUGACAUCCUGCUUUUGAAAAAGCGGUGAUCAAAGCAGGGGAUCGCAUGACCUAGCGCUUGGAGAGGGGCCCGCGCCUGAUUAGCUUGUUGGUGAGGCAACCGCUCACCAAGGCGACGACCAGGAUUCGGCCUGAGAGGGCGGACAGACACACUGGGACGGAGACACGGCCCAGACCCCCAGGGGAGGCGGCAGGGGGGGAUUGGUCGCAAGGGGCGCAAGCCUGACGACGCAACGCCGCGUGGAGGACGAAGAUCGUCGGGUCGUAAACACCUGUCGAGCGGGACGAACGCUUCGCGGAUGGAUAAGCCGCGGAAUUGACGGUACCGCUAAAGGAAGCCCCGGCUAACUCCGUG